rnacentral:tRNA from 2 species
GGGCCUUUAGCUCAGUCGGCUAGAGCAUUCCUCUGAUAAGGGAAAGGUCUCUGGUUCAAGUCCAGAAAGGCCCACCA